rnacentral:lncRNA from 1 species
UGUAGAUGUAGAUAUGAGUCACUAACUUAGACAUGAUUGCUCAAGUAGAGAAUUUCUUCAAGAGUCAGUGACUAAACAGAGUUUAGACAAAGAAGAGUAAAAAGCUGAAGUCUUAAUCUUAAGGCAUUCCUAUAUUUAAGAAGCCAGAGAAAGAAUCAAGAUCAAGGAAUAUCAGCAAGUCAUGGGAAAAUGAACCUGAGGAACAGAACAGGUGGAAAAGCUGCAAGAAAGGAUAAAAAAUAAGGAGGAUUCAAUGCUGAGAAAGAAUCCUGAAGCUGCUGCUGCUGCUGCUAAGCCACUUCAGUCGUGUCUGACUCUGUGCGACCCCAUAGACGGCAGCCCACCAGGCUCCCGCAUCCCUGGGAUGCUCCAGGCAAGAACACUGGAGUGAGUUGCCAUUUCCUUCUCCAAUGCGUGAAAGUGAAAAGUGAAAGAGAAGUCGUUCAGUUGUGUCCGAUUCUAUCCUGAAGCUAGAGAUGCUUAAAUCAUCUCCACACUACUCACCACCUCCCAUUCCCAAAGUGAUGAGCAUGUAUCUUCUACAAUACCUCAAGUGAGAGUAAACUCACUACUUGUAGCUAUUUGAAGUUUUUCUUUCCAUCAAGCAAAAAGCUGAUUUUCUAUAGCUUUCUCUUAUUGAUCUUUGGAUUAAUUACUGACAUUCUUCCAAUAUCUAUAGACAGUUGUAAUCUUAUCCAGGCUAAAAUCUCCUUUUCCCUCAAUAUUUCCUCAUAAGAUAUAUAUAUAUAUAUAUGUAUAUAUAUAUAUAUUUUAUUCAAGAAGAUGAUUGAAUUGGCGGUGGAUCAUGAGGCAGAGUAAUUUAUCAUCCCUUUGGACAUCACCACUUCCCUUUACAGACUUUCUAAUCUAUCAUAUUACUGAUAAAUUAUAAAGAAUGAUGAAGAUUGUCAGUGAAAAAUGUC